UCUUCUUCCAUGCCCUCGCCUCAGUGCCCCCUCCUCCCUGUCCCGCACGUGAUGCCCCACCAUGACAGCCGCCGCUCCAUCAACGACCUCGCCCUCCUUCCUCCACCGUCCCGCUCGCACGAAUCUCCUUCGUUGCGACACUAUCGUGGGCCUGCGGUGCAAGGAGAUCGCCACGCUCGUUGUUGGGGCCUCUGCGCUCUCCUCCUGGCACGACGGCAGUCGUGGUGAGCCCCGACCCUACUUCAUUCUUGAAAGCUUGGCACCUCCGCGCGGGAUUGGGUGGGUUGGUUUUCUAGCAGACUGGUGAGGUUGGUGGCCCGCGCCUUCUACGAUGACCACGAUGGGUGCAACCCGCCACAUGACGCCAACACUCGGUAUGCCGUGCAGCUGCUCGACGUCUGUGGUGAGCCCCGACCCUACGUCAUUCUCGAAACCCUAGCCGCAGUCGUUCCUGACCUCCGCGUGGUGUCAAGUGUGUUCGUUUUCUGGUAGGCUGGCGGACCGUGCCUUCUACAAUGAAGUCUCUAUGAACGGCGACAACCAACCAUUGAAUAUUUGUAAGCUUUUUUGACCUUUUAUAUGGCCUGGCACUUCAAUGGUAGACUAGUAUAGAAGGCAAAUUAAUGAAAUUGGUUGCAAUUACAGAUAGUGUGUUGCAAAUAGCUUCCUUCCAAUGUGAAAAUUGUUUUUUUUUCAGGCAGCAGAUCCAGGAUUUUGAUGCACUGCAGCACACAGUCUUUAAAGAUAUAGCGGUUCACAUAUGUGGGAGCGAGUCAAAAACAAAGACAUGCAAAUGUUGAUAUUUUAAAACUGAAUAAGUCUUACUUUCUAAUUUGCAUAAACGUUGUUUGUGCUUUAGGUAUUUCAGUAAUGCCAGUCAUCCAAUUUUAUCUUUUACUAAGUUCAACAUUGAGAUGGACCAUAAAACAUACCUCUGUCCCAAAAUAUAGGUACUCCUAGGUUUGAGUCAAACUGUUUUAGUUUUGACCAGGUUUAUACGAAAAAUAUCUACACAAGUACAUUGUAAAAAGUUAUUUUAUAAUUGGUAUAGCGAUACUAAUUUAGUGUUCUACAUGUUGAUAAUUUUUACUAUGAUUUAGUCAACCCUAACUUCGUUUUAACCAAAGAAUUUUGGGAUGGACAAAAUGGUUCUUUCAAUAACCCAUUGUUUUGUUUUAUAUGUUGAUCAGCUCAUCACAAUGGCUUUGAUAGUGACUUUGCUUUUUAAGGUGCAGUCAAUACACAUGGCAUCUAGCAAAUCAUAGAAGAAGCUAUUUGCAGAAGAAGUUAUUUGCACAGGAAACACCAUGCUAUUGCCACCCCUCUCCGUGGCACCUGAUGGAUUCGUUCUUUGGGGAAACAUUUUGUUGGCUAGGAAACCCACUUAUUCCGCGUGGGUCACCAGCAUCUCUUCGAAUUUGUAAGGCAAGGUUUAUGAUUUAGUGUUUCUUUCAAAGUAACUACAAUUGAUCUUUCUUUGCUUCCAACAUAAUCAUGUCAUUUAUUUUAACUUUCUUCAAUUCUUCUAACAUGGUAAGAUAUUUGUAAAGUCAGCGGUUUUGCAGAUACAUUUAUGUGACAGAAGUUGGCAGGUUUUGUAGUUCCACCAAGUCAUAUAGAUGGAAUAAAUAUAUCUGAAUAACUUAUGCUAGGAAAAAUUUAUGCAGUUUAAUGCAGUUUAUUUCAACCACCUUGACUUUUUCUUAUUUUUCUGUUGCUCCAGGAAUCAAGUAAAAUGUCAAAGAGAAAACUUGUUCUGGGGACUGUUCACUGAACUUAGCAGAUUAUGCAUCUGCUAGAUAAUCCUACCAUUGUCUGUGCCUAGCAGUGCAACAGACCUGGUCCCAUCACUCCAUCUUACUUUAAGCCUGGCAGAAGUAAGAGUAUCUCAACAGUCACCUGGUGCUUCACAGCGUUUUAUUGCUGUCCCAUUGUCACCUUCCUCUGCCGACUCGGUUCCUUCUGGAAAAGAUUAGGUUUCUAUCAUUAAGGUGGUCUUGAGAAAUAUAAAAGUCGUAAGAGAUCCCGUGCAUACACGGAGGUUCAGAAAGAGUCACCAAGACUAUGACGACAGUGAGAUGUAUUGUUUUCACAUUUAUUGUUGCAGAGUUUUCUUAUGACACCGACUCUCUUGAUGAUGAUCUGGAUGGCAGAGUGUAGGAUGAUGAGUUUGUGUGUUCAGCCAUCAGGAAGUCCUUUAGCUAUGGGUCGCUGUAGAUUAUGAAUGUCGGUGCCCUACUAUAUGCAUCUAGGAUCGAUGGAGACGAUGAGGGCUAGGUAAAUUACAGUCACCAGAAUUCCGAUGUCAGUUAUCAUGAUGAGUAAGUGCCAUCCUCCACAACCGAGGAGCAUCACUACCGGAUAACGGGUUUCGCCGAGUACAAGUGAUUAGCUGAGUGUUUUUUCAAACACUCGAUAAAUAAGCUCUUUGUCAAGUGUCAAAUAAAAACACUCAAUAAAAAACACUCGAUAAAUAA